CUACACAUGCAGCCGAGCGGUAGAAUCUUUUCGGAGAUUUGAGAGCGGCGUACGGGUGAGGAACACGUGUGCAACCUGCCUUUAUCUGGGAGAUAGCCUUUCGAAAGGAAGAUUAAUAUCCCAUAAUAUAUUGAGUGGCAUCACUUAAUAUUGAAAGCUCCGGCGGAUAGAGAUGGGCACGCGCAAGAUUAGAUAGUUGGUGAGGUAACGGCUCACCAAGUCUACGAUCUUUAGGGGGCCUGAGAGGGUGAUCCCCCACACUGGUACUGAGACACGGACCAGACUCCUACGGGAGGCAGCAGUGAGGAAUAUUGGACAAUGGGUGCAAGCCUGAUCCAGCCAUCCCGCGUGAAGGAUUAAGGUCCUAUGGAUUGUAAACUUCUUUUAUACAGGGAUAAACCUCUCCUCGUGAGGAGAGCUGAAGGUACUGUAUGAAUAAGCACCGGCUAACUCCGUGCCAGCAGCCGCGGUAAUACGGAGGGUGCAAGCGUUAUCCGGAUUUAUUGGGUUAAGGUCCGUAGGCGGGUUCGUAGUCAGUGGUGAAAUCCUACAGCUUACUGUAGA
rnacentral:rRNA from 1 species